rnacentral:tRNA from 1 species
GUGGGUAUAGCUCAGUGGUAGAGCACAUGCCUAGCAUGCAGGAGGUCCUGGGUUCAAUCCCCAGUACUUCCA